rnacentral:snoRNA from 1 species
AGCACUUUGUGUGUGGGUUUGUUCAACUGGUGAACAAAGGCAUGAAAGAUGAGUGCAAAAAUAAAUCCUCUUUUGCAACCCAGAAUUCGUUGUUCAGUGUGAGUUUGAUACGUACAAGAAGGAACAUG